GGGCGACGGGGGCCUGAGGAAGCUCCCUCGCCGGGGCCUCAGCGGCCUGAUGGAGUAAGAAGGGUCGGCUUGAGUGUGUGACUUUGAAUGCUUCAGAUCUGAUCACUAUGGUACGAGAACGAAAAUGCAUAUUGUGCCACAUUGUGUACAGCUCAAAAAAGGAGAUGGACGAACACAUGAGGAGCAUGUUGCAUCACAGGGAACUUGAAAACCUGAAGGGCAGGUAUGGGAACCGCUAUCUUCCAUAAACUUGUGAGUGUUGGGGGGUCUGUGUGCUGAUAAGCCUGCCAGCUCAUUCCUUUUUUUUUUUUUAAAGAUUUAUUUUAUUUAUUUAUUUAUGCAUACAAGA